GGGUAUAGCUCAGUAUUAGAGUGCAUGCCUAGCAUGUAUGAGGUCCUAGGUUCAAUCCUCAGUACUUCCA
rnacentral:tRNA from 1 species